CCUACGGGGGGCAGCAGUGGGGGAUAUUGCACAAUGGGGGGAACCCUGAUGCAGCGACGCCGCGUGGGUGAAGAAGCGCCUCGGCGCGUAAAGCCCUGUCAGCGGGGAAGAAAAUGACGGUACCUGAUGACGAAGCCCCGGCUAACUACGUGCCAGCAGCCGCGGUAAUACGUAGGGGGCAAGCGUUAUCCGGAUUUCCUGGGUGUAAGGGGGGCGCAGACGGCGAUGCAAGCCAGUAGUGAAAGCCCGGGGCCCAACCCCGAGACUGCUCUUGGAACUGCGUGGCUGGAGUGCAGGAGGGGCAGGCGGAAUUCCUGGUGUAGCGGUGAAAUGCGUAGAUAUCAGGAGGAACACCGGUGGCGAAGGCGGCCUGCUGGACUGCAACUGACGUUGAGGCCCGAAAGCGUGGGGAGCAAACAGGAUUAGAUACCCUUGUAGUC
rnacentral:rRNA from 1 species